rnacentral:rRNA from 1 species
AUUGAACGCUAACGGCGUGCUUAACACAUGCAAGUCGAGCGGCAGCAUGACUGUAGCAAUACAGUUGAUGGCGAGCGGCGGACGGGUGAGUAAUGCAUAGGAAUCUGCCUUGUAGUGGGGGAUAACCCGGGGAAACUCGGGCUAAUACCGCAUAAUCUCUACGGAGCAAAGUGGGGGACCUUCGGGCCCUACGCUAAGAGAUGAGCCUAUGUUGGAUUAGCUAGUUGGCAGGGUAAAAGCCUACCAAGGCAACGAUCCAUAGCUGGUCUGAGAGGAUGAUCAGCCACACUGGGACUGAGACACGGCCCAGACUCCUACGGGAGGCAGCAGUGGGGAAUAUUGGACAAUGGGCGAAAGCCUGAUCCAGCAACGCCGUGUGUGUGAAGAAGGCCUUCGGGUUGUAAAGCACUUUUAGUGGGAAAGAAAAGUUCAUGGCUAAUAUCCAUGAAUGCUGACGUUACCCACAGAAAAAGCACUGGCUAACUCUGUGCCAGCAGCCGCCGUAA